rnacentral:sRNA from 1 species
AACUUAUAAAAUGGCGGCGUCCACAUGUAUACGUCCUUCCCGGGAUUAGCCAGGCAGCUAGAGGAUGACUUAAUAAGGAGAGUGGAGAAACUGGCCAAUUAAUGAACAUGCCCUGAAGGAAGACCACUGAAGCCACCGCAGACAGCAGAACCUCAAUCAGCUUGAAAGAGAAUGGGCUCAACAAAAGAGCAAACUGUCAACAGUGAUGAUGAGGUGCAACAUUCAACUUCACAGUUCUUGGAAUCCAGACAGACCUGGAGGAGUGGACUUCCUGGGAUGAAGAUGAGCCCACUAGUGCAUCGAAGGAGGGAAUGGGAUUGUGGCAACACAGCAGAACUCUUUGGAGCAACUGGAACCUGACUACUUCGAGGCCAUAACUCCAACUAUACAGAAAACUCAGAAAAUUGUCAUUAAGAAGAGAGAACCAUUGAAUUUUGGUGUCCCAGAUGGUAGCACAGGUUUUUCCAGUAGAUUGGCAGCUGCACAAGAUAGGCCUUUUAUUCAUCAGUCUUCAAAAUUAGGUGACUUAGAUACGUGGCAAGAAAAUACCAGUGCAUGGGAAGAGGAAGAAGACGCAGCCUGGCAAGCAGAAGAAGUCCUGAAGCAGCAGAAAAUUUCAGACGGAGAGAAGAGACAGCAGAACAACAAAGGAAGAAAACGGAGAAGGAAGCGCAACGCCCUAUAAAGAAGGAGCAAAGCAAAGUCUGUGUGAAGCUUUCCUAACAGGCUUUGUGAGUCUGGGCGCACAGCCUACACGCAAGCAUUUGCAUGCACUGGACAGUAUUCUCAGAAUACAAACACUCUGCUAGAUCUCAGUUUGUUAUUGAGCUAUCCAGGACACCAGGAUUCUCCCAUAAUACCUUGAACUAUUAGGAAUCAAGACUCAAAACACAAAAAUAAUGAGACAAUUAUUUUCUUCAAUGUGUUCCAAAUAGAAGACAAUUGUUUGCUGUAGAGAAGUUAUUUCAAGAGGAAUAUACCUGACAAGUACCUCUCAAGCUAGUGUUUCUAGAUGAACAAAGGGCUGUAAAUAAUUUUAUGGUGGAAAAGUACCCUGCUACUUACUAUGCUUUUGUUCAUUGUACAUAAUUAUAAAAUAAUUUUAAUGAUCAUUUGUUUCCAUGACCGCUUGAUGUAAAUUAGACAAACUGUAGGUAGGGCUUUAUACCCUUCUUAAUUUUGUUUUCAGGUACUGUUGACAUACAUUUUCUAUCAUUUGAACUGGCAUUGUUUGGUACAACAUUAAGGGAUAUGAUGAUUUGGGUUUUUAAGAAAAUAACAUUAAAUGCAAUAAUUUUAUUUAUCAAAAAAAAA